rnacentral:rRNA from 1 species
ACACAUGCAAGUCGAGGGGCAGCAUGAUUUGUAGCAAUACAGAUUGAUGGCGACCGGCGCACGGGUGAGUAACGCGUAUGCAACUUACCUAUCAGAGGGGGAUAGCCCGGCGAAAGUCGGAUUAAUACCCCAUAAAACAGGGGUCCCGCAUGGGAAUAUUUGUUAAAGAUUCAUCGCUGAUAGAUAGGCAUGCGUUCCAUUAGGCAGUUGGCGGGGUAACGGCCCACCAAACCGACGAUGGAUAGGGGUUCUGAGAGGAAGGUCCCCCACAUUGGUACUGAGACACGGACCAAACUCCUACGGGAGGCAGCAGUGAGGAAUAUUGGUCAAUGGCCGAGAGGCUGAACCAGCCAAGUCGCGUGAAGGAAGAAGGAUCUAUGGUUUGUAAACUUCUUUUAUAGGGGAAUAAAGUGGAGGACGUGUCCUUUUUUGUAUGUACCCUAUGAAUAAGCAUCGGCUAACUCCGUGCCAGCAGCCGCGGUAAUACGGAGGAUGCGAGCGUUAUCCGGAUUUAUUGGGUUUAAAGGGUGCGUAGGUGGUGAUUUAAGUCAGCGGUGAAAGUUUGUGGCUCAACCAUAAAAUUGCCGUUGAAACUGGGUUACUUGAGUGUGUUUGAGGUAGGCGGAAUGCGUGGUGUAGCGGUGAAAUGCAUAGAUAUCACGCAGAACUCCGAUUGCGAUGGCAGCUUACUAAACCAUAACUGACACUGAAGCACGAAAGCGUGGGGAUCAAACAGGAUUAGAUACCCUGGUAGUCCACGCAGUAGACGAUGAUUACUAGGAGUUUGCGAUACAAUGUAAGCUCUACAGCGAAAGCGUUAAGUAAUCCACCUGGGG